GACGAACGCUGGCGGCGUGCUUAACACAUGCAAGUGGAGCGACGAACCAGGGCUUGCCCUGGGGCAGAGCCGCGAACGGGUGAGUAACACGUGGGUAACGUGCCCCGAUGAUCGGGACAACCCGGGGAAACCCGGGCUAAUACCGAAUGUGCUCCUCCCACAUCAGUGGGAGGUGGAAAGGAAGCUUCGGCCUCCGCAUCGGGAUCGGCCCGCGGCCCAUUAGCUUGUUGGUGAGGUAACGGCUCACCAAGGCUGCGAUGGGUAGCUGGUCUGAGAGGACGAUCAGCCACACUGGGACUGAGACACGGCCCAGACUCCUACGGGAGGCAGCAGUGGGGAAUAUUGGACAAUGGGGGGAACCCUGAUCCAGCCAUGCCGCGUGUGUGAAGAAGGCCUUAUGGUUGUAAAGCACUUUAAGCGAGGAGGAGGCUACUGAGACUAAUACUCUUGGAUAGUGGACGUUACUCGCAGAAUAAGCACCGGCUAACUCUGUGCCAGCCGCCGCCGUAAUAC
rnacentral:rRNA from 1 species